GCAAGGGUGGUGAAGUGGAAUCACGACUCGGUGAAACUGAGGAAUCGGGGGUUCGAAUCCCCUCCCGUGCA